GGCGAACGGGUGAGUAACACGUGAGUAACCUGCCCUUGACUUUGGGAUAACUUCAGGAAACUGGGGCUAAUACCGGAUAGGAGCUCCUGCUGCAUGGUGGGGGUUGGAAAGUUUCGGCGGUUGGGGAUGGACUCGCGGCUUAUCAGCUUGUUGGUGGAGUAGUGGCUUACCAAGGCUUUGACGGGUAGCCGGCCUGAGAGGGUGACCGGCCACAUUGGGACUGAGAUACGGCCCAG
rnacentral:rRNA from 1 species